rnacentral:rRNA from 1 species
AGAGUUGAUCAUGGCUCAGAGUGAACGCUGGCGACGUAGAUAGCAUGCAAGUCGAGCGAUAUCUUUUUUUUGAGACAUUGAGACCGCAAGGUGGAUGUGUCAAGAGAAGAGGAAUAUAGCGGCAGAUUGGUGAGUAACACGUGAGUAAUUUACCUCUAAGUCGGGGAUAGCCUUGCGAAAGUGAGGGUAAUACCCGAUGUGUUUACAGCUGCAUAAGCAGUUGUAAGUAAAGAAGGCUCGCAAGAGUUUUUGUUUAGAGAUGAGCUCGCGUCCUAUCAGCUAGUUGGCAGGGUAAUGGCCUACCAAGGCUUUUGACGGGUAGCUGGCCUGAGAGGGUGGUCAGCCACAUGGGGACUGAGACACUGCCCCAACUCCUACGGGAGGCUGCAGUCGAGGAUAUUUAGCAAUGGACGAAAGUCUGACUAUGUGACGCCGCGUGAGGGAUGAAGGUCUUCGGAUUGUAAACCUCUUUCGAUAGGGAAGAAAACCUGUUCUUAACGGAACAGACUGACGGUACCUAGAGAAGAAGCCACGGCCAACUCUGUGCCAGCAGCCGCGGUAAUACAGAGGUGGCGAGCGUUACUCGGAUUUAUUGGGUGUAAAGGGCAAGUAGGCGUCUCAACAAGUUAGAAGUGAAAUCCUGCAGCUCAACUGCAGAACUGCUUUUAAAACUGUUGGGAUUGAGACUGGAAGAGAAAAGCGGAAUUCUCGGUGUAAGAGUGAAAUCUGUAGAUAUCGAGAGGAACACCAGUGGCGAAGGCGGCUUUCUGGUCCGGUACUGACGCUGAAUUGCGAAAGCUAGGGGAGCAAACAGGAUUAGAUACCCU